CGUUGUUCGGAAUUACUGGGCGUAAAGCGCGCGUAGGCGGAUUGGAAAGUUGGGGUGGAAAUCCCAGGGCUCAACCCUGGAACUGCCUUUAAUACUGCUAGUCUAGAGUUCGAGAGAGGUGAGUGGAAUUCCAAGUGUAGAGGUGAAAUUCGUAGAUAUUUGGAGGAACACCAGUGGCGAAGGCGGCUCACUGGCUCGAUACUGACGCUGAGGUACGAAAGUGUGGGGAGCAAACAGGAUUAGAUACCCUGGUAGUCCACACCGUAAACGAUGAAUGCCAGUCGUCGGGUAGUAUACUAUUCGGUGACACACCUAACGGAGUAAGCAUUCCGCCUGGGGAGUACGGUCGCAAGAUUAAAACUCAAAUAAAUUGACGGGGACCCGCACAAGCAGUGGAGCAUGUGGUUUAAUUCGACGCAACGCGAAGAACCUUACCAGCGUUUGACAUGGAAAGUACCGGUUACAGAAUGGUAACCUUCAGUUCGGCUGGCUUUCGCACAGGUGCUGCAUGGCU
rnacentral:rRNA from 1 species